UCCUGGCUCAGGAUGAACGCUAGCUACAGGCUUAACACAUGCAAGUCGAGGGGCAGCAUGAUCAAGCUGCUUGAUGAUGGCGACCGGCGCACGGGUGAGUAACGCGUAUCCAACCUCCCUAUAGUAGUGGAUAGCCCGGCGAAAGUCGGAUUAAUACACUAUGUAUUCAACGAGGACAUCUGAAAUGAAUCAAAGGCUUGCCGCUAUAGGAUGGGGAUGCGUCUGAUUAGAUAGUAGGCGGGGUAACGGCCCACCUAGUCGACGAUCAGUAGGGUUCUGAGAGGAAGGUCCCCCACAUUGGAACUGAGACACGGUCCAAACUCCUACGGGAGGCAGCAGUGAGGAAUAUUGGUCAAUGGGCGCGAGCCUGAACCAGCCAAGUAGCCGUGCAGGAUGACGGCCCUAUGGGUUGUAAACUGCUUUUAUACGGGGAUAAAGUGCACCACGUGUGGUGUUUUGUAGGUACCGUAUGAAUAAGGACCGGCUAAUUCCGUGCCAGCCGCAGC
rnacentral:rRNA from 1 species